rnacentral:lncRNA from 1 species
AUGAUGAGCCUGAUUGCUGUAAAGUACAGGUUUGACUUGUGGCUUUCUCUCUUUCCUUAUGCUUUCUUUACCAGCCUGACGCACGAUAGCAGAGCUAUCCAUACAGACAGUACACCUGAAUAUGGAGAGGAAUGCAAAACACACAAGAAAAAGCAGAACCUGUCAGUCACCCCUCGGCGGCUGUCGACAUCUGAAAGGAUGGGUGCAGAAUUCAAGCGCAGCCAUCUUCAUCCAGUCGCUCGUGUGCACAAUUUAGAGGGAAUUUAGUGUCUUUGGAAAGCACCAGAUCGAUAGCCCCAGAGGAAAAUUCUCUCCCAGCGGGAUGACAGCCCAUGGGAAGGACUCUCGCCGUGCCCUGGGCAGCUCCCGACACCCUCUCCAUGCAGGGCACUGCUGCAAGUGUACGAAGGCAUUUUAUUUUUGAAAUUGUUUUAUAUCUGAGUAGAGAUCAUUAAUCUGUUUAUAUUUCUAUGGGAGUUUGAAAGUCCUACAUGUCUGAAAUGACAGCAGAUGGCACAGUAGAGGGUUUAGCUGAGUUUUAGGUAUGCAGAUGAGUUUAAUUAAUUAACAGUAAUCUCUUUAAAAUGUAUGGCGGAGUAAUGCCAGUCUAGUCUAUAGAAGGAUUCUUUGGGACUUAAAAAAGCUCUGGGAGUAAUUAAUUAUACAAUAACCCAUGGUUAAGAAGAUAUUAUCAUCCAGUCAGUGGGCAGAGUUUGUGUUUGUCAUUUACCAAAGAGGAUCAUUAGUGUUUGCUACAGAGUCAGUCUGCAGCGGUGCAUAGGAGGGGUGCCCUCAGUCCCCGAAAUGCCCAGGUUGUAAUGGGUGUAAUCACCUAUGCUUUGCUAAGGGAAAACCGUUCCGGUGUAAAGCACGUGGGGUCAGAGCAGGUACAGUUGCUUGGGAAAAUGAAGUUAUUUGUUAAAAGCAGAUAGUUAGCUUAUUACCUUACAAGCACCUAUCUAAGCUCCGUUCAAUUAACGAAACACAAUUUGAAGUAAAAAGGAUGGGUACCAACCAAACUACUGCACUAUAAGCUCUCCUCUAAUUAUGCUAUAAGAUAAUGUCUACCAGAUUAAAAUUUUAAUUAGCUUAAUUU